rnacentral:lncRNA from 1 species
CUCAGAAGGAUCUGGAAUGAGGUCCAAGAGGGGUCUGCCUUCACUCCUUGGCCCUGAGCUGCCCUGAGGUGAAGAAGGUUCAUCAACAGCCCAUCCAGCUGUGUCAACAUCAGCUGACCUGGGAAGAAAGGUACCUCCAGUUCUACCCAGUGCCUCUGGACAGAGAUGAUCUUGUUCCUGCCAAUAGGUCACCAGAGGAGUGGGGCUCUCAAGAAGAAGUUAGGACAAACCACAGCUGAUCUGGCAUAGCACUGGCCUGCUCUGAGCAGAUUGGACUAGAAAUCUUCAGUGGUCACUCCC